rnacentral:rRNA from 1 species
UACAGAGGUCUCAAGCGUUGUUCGGAUUCAUUGGGCGUAAAGGGUGCGUAGGUGGCGCCGUAAGUCGGGUGUGAAAUUUCGGAGCUUAACUCCGAAACUGCAUUCGAUACUGCGGUGCUUGAGGACUGGAGAGGAGACUGGAAUUCAUGGUGUAGUAGUGAAAUGCGUAGAGAUCAUGAGGAAGACCAGUGGCGAAGGCGGGUCUCUGGACAGUUCCUGACACUGGAGGCACGAAGGCCAGGGGAGCAAACGGG